rnacentral:rRNA from 1 species
GGCCUUUUGACAAUAAUUUAAGGUCUGACCUGCCCAAUGAUGGAGUAUUAAAUGGCCGCGGUAUUUUGACCGUGCAAAGGUAGCAUAAUCAUUAGUUUUUUAAUUGAAAGCUUGUAUGAAAGGUUUAAUGAAAAAAUAGCUGUCUCUAUUUAAAUUUUUUAGAAAUUUAUUUUUAAGUAAAAAAGCUUAAAUAAAUAUUAAAGACGAGAAGACCCUAUAGAGUUUUAUAGUUUUACGGAAUUAUUAUAUUUUGGGAUUUUUUAAUAAUUUUUUAAGAUUAUUUGGUUGGGGUGAUUGAAAAAUUAGUAAAAUUUUUUUAUGUUAAACUCACUGAUUUGUGAAUUUUUGAUCUUUAUUAAAGAUUAAUAGAUAAAAUUACCUUAGGGAUAACAGCGUAAUUUUUUUUAGAGUUCUUAUCGAAGAAAAAGGUUGCGACCUCGAUGUUGGAUUAAAAUAAACUGUUGGUGUAGAAGCUGAUAAGGCUAGGUCUGUUCGACCUUUAGAUUUUUACAUGAUCUGAGUUUAAACCGGUGUGAG